GGACUAAACCAGGUCUAAACCAGGUCUAAACCAGGACUAAACCAGGUCUAAACCAGGACUAAACCAGGACUAAACCAGGUCUAAACCAGGACUAAACCAGGUCUAAACCAGGUCUAAACCAGGUCUAAACCAGGUCUAAACCAGGUCUAAACCAGGACUGAACCAGGACUAAACCAGGACUGAACCAGGACUAAACCAAGACUGAACCAGGUCUAAACCAGGACUGAACCAGGUCUAAACCAGGUCUAAACCAGGUCUAAACCAGGACUAAACCAGGUCUAAACCAGGACUAAACCAGGACUAAACCAGGACUAAACCAGGUCUAAACCAGGUCUAAACCAGGACUAAACCUGGACUAAACCAGGACUGAACCAGGACUGAACCAGGACUAAACCAGGAC
ensembl:lncRNA